rnacentral:rRNA from 1 species
UACGGGGGGGGCAAGCGUUGUUCGGAAUUACUGGGCGUAAAGGGCUCGUAGGCGGCCAACUAAGUCGGACGUGAAAUCCCCAGGCUCAACCUGGGAACUGCGUCCGAUACUGGAUGGCUUGAAUCCGGGAGAGGGAUGCAGAAUUCCAGGUGUAGCGGUGAAAUGCGUAGAUAUCGUAAGGAAGACCAGUGGCGAAGGCGGGUCUCUGGACAGUUCCUGACGCUGAGGCACGAAGGUCUGGGGAGCAAACGGG